AUAUUUGCGGCCAAUUAAGGUUGCAGGGGCGCAUCAUGCCACUGCAUUAAAAGGGAAUUUGGAUAAAUACCAAAGCUGUUCCCGCAACUGUAAGCUACAACGCCUGUUGUUAUCUGCAAACCACUGUGUACACUAUGUGCAUGGGAAGGUAAACAACCAAGGACGCAAGCCAGGAGACCUGCCUUAACUGUAACAAAAUA
rnacentral:ncRNA from 2 species